rfam:Strongyloides venezuelensis genome assembly, scaffold: SVE_scaffold0000054
GAUCUUGUAGCGUAAUGGCUAACGCGUCUGCCUUCGGAGCAGAAGAUUGCAGGUUCGAGUCCUGUCAAGAUCG